AGCGAGAACUGAACCACUGUUCUGGGCUCAUAACCCGAAAGCCGCAGGUUCAAAUCCUGCUCCCGCUA
rnacentral:tRNA from 1 species